GAUGAACGCUGGCGGCGUGCCUAAUACAUGCAAGUCGAGCGAACGGACGAGAAGCUUGCUUCUCUGAUGUUAGCGGCGGACGGGGGAGUAACACGUGGAUAACCUACCUAUAAGACUGGGAUAACUUCGGGAAACCGGAGCUAAUACCGGAUAAUAUUUUGAACCGCAUUGUUCAAAAGUGAAAGACGGUCUUGCUGUCACUUAUAGAUGGAUCCGCGCUGCAUUAGCUAGUUGGUAAGGUAACGGCUUACCAAGGCAACGAUGCAUAGCCGACCUGAGAGGGUGAUCGGCCACACUGGAACUGAGACACGGUCCAGACUCCUACGGGACGCAGCAGUAGGGAAUCUUCCGCAAUGGGCGAAAGCCUGACGGAGCACCGACGCGUGAGUGAUAAAGGUCUUCGGAUCGUAAAACUCUGUUAUUAGGGAAGAACAUAUGUGUAAGUAACUGUGCACAUCUUGACGGUACCUAAUCAGAAAGCCACGGCUAACUACGUG
rnacentral:rRNA from 1 species